UGGGGAAUUUUGGACAAUGGGCGAAAGCCUGAUCCAGCCAUGCCGCGUGAGUGAAGAAGGCCUUCGGGUUGUAAAGCUCUUUUAGUCGGAAAGAAAGAGUCGCAAUGAAUAAUUGUGAUUUAUGACAGUACCGACAGAAAAAGCACCGGCUAACUACGUGCCAGCAGCCGCGGUAAUACGUAGGGUGCGAGCGUUAAUCGGAAUUACUGGGCGUAAAGGGUGCGCAGGCGGUUUUGCAAGUCAGAUGUGAAAGCCCCGGGCUUAACCUGGGAAUUGCGUUUGAAACUACAAGGCUAGAGUGCAGCAGAGGGGAGUGGAAUUCCAUGUGUAGCAGUGAAAUGCGUAGAGAUGUGGAAGAACACCGAUGGCGAAGGCAGCUCCCUGGGUUGACACUGACGCUCA
rnacentral:rRNA from 1 species